GUCUCAGUUCGGAUUGUAAGCUGAAACUCGCCUACAUGAAGCUGGAGUUGCUAGUAAUCGCGAAUCAGCAUGUCGCGGUGAAUACGUUCCCGGGCCUUGUACACACCGCCCGUCACACCAUGAGAGUUGGCAAUACCCAACGUACGUGAUCUAACCCGCAAGGGAGGAAGCGUCCUAAGGUAGGGUCAGCGAUUGGGGUGAAGUCGUAACAAGGUACC
rnacentral:rRNA from 1 species